GGUUCCUUAGUGUAUUGGUUAUCACAUUAGCUUAACACGCUAAAGGUCCCUGGUUCGUUUCCGAACGGAACCA